AAGGGCACAUCAGGAGUGGAGCCUGCGGCUUAAUUUGACUCAACACGGGAAAACUCACCCGGUCCGGACACCGUAAGGAUUGACAGACCGAUAGAUCUUUCUUGGUUCGGUGGAUGGUGGUGCAUGGCCGUUCUUAGUUGGUGGAGUGAUUUGUCUGGUUAAUUCCGAUAACGAACGAGACUCUAGCCUGCUAACUAGUGUAACUCUCUUGUUGGAGUUUGCACUUCUUAGAGGGACAAGUGGCGUUUAGCCACGCGAAAAUGAGCAAUAACAGGUCUGUGAUGCCCUUAGAUGUCCGGGGCCGCACGCGCGCUACACUGAAGGAACCAGCGUGUGUCCCUGUCCGGCAGGACUGGGUAAUCCGUUGAACCUCCUUCGUGAUAGGGAUAGGGGCUUGUAAUUGUUCCCCUUGAACGAGGAAUUCCCAGUAAGCGUGAAUCAUCAGUUCACGUUGAUUACGUCCCUGGCCUUUGUACACACCGCCCGUCGCUACUACUGAUUGGAUGAUUUAGUGAGGUC
rnacentral:rRNA from 1 species